UGGACGCCAUCUUUGGAUUUUUUUUUGUUUAAAGAUUCAACUCGAUGUUUUACCACUUUAAGGUCUCUGAAACAGCGAACCCGUAGUCCUUCCAGAAAAUACUGUAACUAGCCUGCAUAUUUCGAAGAUUACAGCAUGUUGGAAACGAUGGAAAUCCUCCAUCCCUACAUCACUGAGGACAUUUGUAAGGUGGGAACAAAAGGCUGCUGUCAACAUGAUGAUGAGCCACUCCCACAUUCUCGCAAUUUCCCAAAGAAAGGUAAAGUCAAAUUGACAUUAUACACACUCUACCUACAUG